CUUUUUUUUUUUUUUUAAUAACUUACUAAGUUGAAACCUUUGGUUGUUUUUGUGAAUGUAGGUUUUCUUAUAGAAUUUGUUGCGUCGAACGUAUCCUAAAUCCGACACCACUUGUGAGAAAUCAUUUUGAAUAUUAAUUUGCCUAAAAAUUGAAUAGAAAAGAGUUACCAUAUCCACAGACUCUAACUCAUUAUCAAAUGUUUCUUAGAUGCAUAUCAAUUUUUGAAAUGUUCAUUUCAUUUGGACUUAAUUCAUACGAGAUGAAUACAUGCAUCUUCUAAGAAAUAUCUACGAUGAGAGAUUGCGAAUUUAAAUCGUUCCUCAUUGGCUCGUUCCAAGAGACUUUUUAUUGCUCGAGGAAUAAACAUUUAUAGAAUAACUCGCUUAUAUAUCCCCUUGGGUGGUUCGUACUUAUGUUUAUAUCGUGUGACUCUUUGGAGACGGAUCUCGAAUAUGUCGGUCUCUUCUCAAAGCAACUCUUCUUCCUCUCUCUCUCUCUCUCUCUCUUUCUCUUCUAGAAAUCGUCACCGGAAGGCACGAUAAACAUCCAUGACACCGCAAAUGAAACGUAACGAUGUAUCGAGGGAACGUAGAGAGAUGAACGUCUCGGCGUAUAGUAUGAACUCUCCUUGUCUCUGGAUAAAGUCAUUGACGGAAUAGAUCGAAUUAUUGAAAAAUGUAGAUUCAAAGAGGAGAGGAAUGACAGACAUAUUCGAUAAAUUUUUUUAUAAUUGAAAACUAGAAUGAUGGAGAUAUUUCAGAUUUUAGGAUCGAAAGCCAAUGAUAUUUAAUAAAAAGAAAAAGAGCGAAAGAGAUAAGUACAGAUUCAAGAAAAAGGGAAAUGACGGACGUAUUCAAUAAAUUCUUUGAUAAUCGAAAACUAAAAUAUGACAGAAAUAUUGUAGAAUAUAUAAAAAUAGCGAUAAAAAGGAAACCUCAAAGUCUAAUAAUCCGAAGCAUUAUCCUAAUUACUGAAGUCUUUGAAUGUUCGGUCGGACAUACAUAUCUCUAUUGAUAAGCACGUCGAACGUCUCCAUCUCUUUCUCUUUGCACUGUUAAUUGGCAGCGAUGAAGACCACAGACUCCUUCGUUUCUCCGUAUAUCCGUCGUCAUUGAAAAGAAACGAGGUCUUUGGCUGGUGCCGUCAGCAUCGAUGCUACUGCUGCUGCAGUGGGUUUCAAGUUUCGAGGUAGACCGAGUGUCGACCAGGUGGAUGACCGCAGGUCGUUCGCAAGGGUUGAUGACUCGGCCGAAGGAAAAAUCCGGAAACGAGGGUGGAAGGCCCGGCAUAGUCGGCCGCCAUGGGUAAGUGCGUACGAGAGAGAAUGCGAGAGAAAAUAUACGUAUACGUAUAUAGGCAGAUACGUGUAUAUACCAAGACACAAGUUGAUGCAGACGUUGGGAGACUCUCGUAGAGUCGCCUCGAUCGGCGCUGCCUCCGCAUGGCACGCCAGAAAGACUGAGAGAGAAAGAUAGAGAACAGUUUUGCUGUCUCUUUUCUUCUCUCGUUACUCGUUUCGUCUCUCUCGGUCGGGCGAGUGCUCGGUCGGUCGGUCGGUCGGUCGCGCGUUUGCUAGCUACCUAGCUAGCUAGCUAGCUUGCUUUCUUUCAUCCCCCCAGAAGGAUGAUCCUCGACGGGGUGGAGCCACCCACGCCCACGCAGGCCAAGCAUAGGCCUACCCCAACGUAACUCGCAGAAGGCGAACCACGUGUGCAACGCUUUUCAUGGUUAGACGAGCUCUCGAUGUCAUCGUUGCCGACGACAGUGACGACGAUGAAGGAGUUGACCUGAUGGAUAAGGAGGAGGUGGGAAUAAGGUCAGGUCUAGUGGACACGGAGAUCGUGUCUAGCUUUGUGCUUCGAGUUUGAGGUGUCUCCGUUAAUCUAUGGGAGAUGUAUGAUGGAUGGUAGCUUUUUUAGUUUGAGACGAAUUGUUUUGUCAAUGAACUACGUUUAUGAAUUAAUUAAAGAUAUUAGCUUAUCAAUUGAGUUUCUACUCCAGGUAAAGCGUUAAGAAGAAUAUUCAGUUGAUUGUAUUUAAUCGAUUAAAUACCAGCUAUAAACAUUCAAUAUAUUAUCAAUUAUCCCGACUAUGACUUUAUAAUUUUCUAAGAACUCUAUAAUCAACAGAUAAACUAUAAAACUGUUUGAGAAAUAAUCGAUUAAUAAUAAUCAAUCAAUUCGAUGAAUUAUAUCAGAAAAGAUAAAUACAAAACCAAAGACUUGAAUAUUUCCCCAGACAGAGAAAACUAAUCGAAUUAAUAACGCCGUAUUAAACGCAGGAAAAGAGUUGAAGUUUGAAAAGCAUGUAAAAGGACAUAACGCACGGGGUCGUGCCACCUGUCUUUCGAAGUACUCUACUCGGUACGCUUCUAGCAUAAUGGAGAAAGCAAGAGAGAGGGAGGGAAAGAGAGAGGGGAGAGAGAGAGAAAGGAGCAAGACAGGCUCUCGUCGUACAAUGCCGGUUGGUAUCGAGUCCGAGAGACGAAGAGAAGAGCCGACAGGAAAUGCGAAGGGGCAAGGAGGACGUAUAGAAGAAGAAGAAGAAGAAGAAGAAGAAGCACAUCAUGGCCCAAGCUACUCCGCGGUAUUCCGCGAAGGCCGAUCUUCGAAAGACGAAGGGAGUAACGUGCUCGUAGGAUCGCAGACUUACGUACGAGUUUCAUUGAAAUUCGCAUGAUGCCUCGAAAACGAGAGAAGGCGUGGCUCGAACUAUCUUUUCCGACGCGAUGUCUCUUACACUCUUAAACGUUCCUUGCGCAUUGCAUUUUCUCUUUCUAUUAGAAUAUUAAGCCUAUCAAAAAAGUUUACUUUUUCAACGAAAGGAAUUUCAAAGUUUUCACAAAAAUACGAAGGAAAUUUCUAAUUGCAUUAAUAAAAAAUAGCUAAAAUUUUGAUACCCAAAGAACGCAUUAAUUUCAGAUAAAAAAAAAACAAAUCGGACAUAAAUGAUCACUGAAAGAUCUAAAGUUUCUUCUUCCAACAACGACAUAAAACUAUUGAUUGAUUGUUGAUCCGAUGAAAUGACUGCGCUACGUAAGAACAAUAAAAUAGUUUGAUGUAACAAACCUAUCAAGAUUAAAAUUUAGAAAAUGAAAGCUAAGAGUUAUUGUCCCAUAAUUAAUAAGCAGAUAAUUAAAAGAGAAAACUGUCUGGAAUUAUAAAUCGCA